rnacentral:rRNA from 1 species
UACGUAGGGUCCAAGCGUUGUCCGGAUUUAUUGGGCGUAAAGAGCUCGUAGGCGGCUCAGUAAGUCGGAUGUGAAAACUCGGGGUUCAACCCCGAGACGCCAUCCGAUACUGCUGUGGCUUGAGUUUGGUAGGGGAGCACGGAAUUCCUGGUGUAGCGGUGAAAUGCGUAGAUAUCUGGAGGAACACCGGUGGCGAAGGCGGCAUCCUGGACCGGCAUUGACGCUGAGGCGCGAAAGCCAGGGGAGCAAACGGG